AUGAGGUGCCCUGCUCAGCUUCUGGGGCUGUUUGUGCUUUGGAUCCCUGCUAAGGAGACAAAGAUGAAGGAGACUACUGGGGAAAUUGUGAUGACCCAGACUGCAGUCUCCAAUCUUGUCACUCUGGGAGAGUCAUUUUCCAUCUCUUACAGUUCUAGUAAGAGUCUCCUACAUAGUGAUAGCAUCACUUAUUUGUAUUGGUACCUGCAGAGGCCAGGACAAUCUCCUCAGCAACUCAUAUAUUGGAUAUCCAACUUUGCCUCGGGAGUGCCAGAUAGGUUCAGUGGCAGUGGAUCAGGAACAGAUUUCACAUUGAGAAUCAGUAAAAUGGAGGCUGAGGAUAUGGGUGUUUAUUACUGUUCACAACUGCUAGAAUUUCCUCCCAAACUGAAGAAAAAUACCCUGCUUCAGGAAACAAAGCUGCCUAGAAAUAUCCUUGUUUAG